UGCCAGCCGCCGCGGUAAAACGUAGGAGGCAAGCGUUAUCCGGAUUCACUGGGCGUAAAGCGCGUGCAGGCGGUUCGGUAAGUUGGGCGUGAAAUCUCCUGGCUUAACUAGGAGAGGUCGUUCAAUACUACCGGACUUGAGAGUGGUAGAGGAAGAUGGAAUUCCAGGUGUAGUGGUGAAAUGCGUAGAUAUCUGGAGGAACACCAGUGGCGAAAGCGAUCUUCUGGACCAUUUCUGACGCUCAGACGCGAAAGCUAGGGUAGUAAACGGGAUUAGAGACCCCGGUAAUCCUAGCCGUAAACGAUGUAAACUUGGCGUUGGUGGCUUAAACACCAUCAGUGCCGCAGCUAACGCGAUAAGUUUACCGCCUGGGGACUACGAUCGCAAGAUUAAAACUCAAAGGAAUUGACGG
rnacentral:rRNA from 1 species